rnacentral:rRNA from 1 species
GACGUAGGGGGCCAGCGUUGCUCGGAAUUACUGGGGGUAAAGGGUUCGUAGGCGGUGUGGCAAGUCGGGAGUGAAAUCUCUGGGCUCAACCCAGAGUCUGCUUCCGAAACUGCUGUGCUUGAGUGUGGGAGAGGCGCGUGGAAUUGCAGGUGUAGCGGUGAAAUGCGUAGAUAUCUGCAGGAACACCCGUGGCGAAAGCGGCGCGCUGGACCACUACUGACGCUGAGGAACGAAAGCUAGGGGAGCAAACAGG